GGUGAACGCUGGCGGCGUGGAUGAGGCAUGCAAGUCGAAUGGGUUUAGACCCAUGGCAGACGAGGUAGGAACACGUAGGUACGUACCCCAAAGUCAGGGAUAAUCCGGCGAAAGUCGGGAUAAUACUUGAUAGUCACUUCGGUGUAAAGAUUUAUCGCUUUGGGAACGGCCUGCGGGCUAUCAGCUUGUUGGUAAGGUAACGGCUUACCAAGGCUACGACGGCUAGGGGAGGUGAGAGCCUGACCCCCACCGAUGGAACUGCGACACGGUCCAUACUCCUACGGGAGGCCGCAGUCGAGAAUCUUCCGCAAUGGACGAAAGUCUGACGGAGCGACGCCGCGUGGUGGAUGAAGCCCUUAGGGGCGUAAACACCUUUUAUGAGGGAAGAAGUAUAUUGACAUUACCUCAUGAAUAAGGGGCUCCCAAUUCUGUGCCAGCAGGAGCGGUAAUACAGAAGCCUCAAGCGUUACCCGGAUUCACUGGGCGUAAAGGGUGCGUAGGCGGUUAUAUUAGUCGGAUGUUAAAUUGUGGGGCUUAACCUUACAGCCGCAUUCGAAACGGUAUAACUAGAAGAAAUCAGAGGUGUACGGAACACAUGGUGUAGGGGUGAAAUCCGUUGAUAUCAUGUGGAACACCAAAUGCGAAGGCAGUACACUGGGAUUUUCUUGACGCUGAGGCACGAAAGCGUGGGUAGCGAAUGGG
rnacentral:rRNA from 1 species